GAUCCAGAGCGGAGUGGUCCGCACCCACAUUCCAUGCCCAAGUACAUGCGAACAGUACGAGGGUGUCCCUGGUUCGAUUCCAGGCUGGGUCA